GUGUCAGCCGCCGCGGUAAUACGUAGGUGGCGAGCGUUGUCCGGAAUUACUGGGCGUAAAGGGCGCGUAGGCGGCCUGUUAAGUCAGAUGUGAAAACCCCAGGCUCAACCUGGGGACUGCAUAUGAAACUGAUGGGCUAGAGUGUCGGAGAGGGAAGCGGAAUUCCUAGUGUAGCGGUGAAAUGCGUAGAUAUUAGGAGGAACACCAGUGGCGAAGGCGGCUUUCUGGACGAUAACUGACGCUGAGGCGCGAAAGCGUGGGGAGCAAACAGGAUUAGAUACCCUGGUAGUCCACGCUGUAAACGAUGGAUACUAGGUGUGGGAGGUAUCGACCCCUUCCGUGCCGCAGUAAACGCAAUAAGUAUCCCGCCUGGGGAGUACGGCCGCAAGGUUGAAACUCAAAUGAAUUGGCGG
rnacentral:rRNA from 1 species